rnacentral:rRNA from 1 species
AGCUCCAAUAGCGUAUAUUAAAGUUGUUGCAGUUAAAAAGCUCGUAGUUGGAUUUGUGGCGUACGGUGUGUCCCGGGCACUUGUUGUCUGAGUGACCUGCUGUUGCCAUCCUUGGGUGGAACCUGUGUGGCAUUAGGUUGUCGUGCAGGGGAUGCCCAUCAUUUACUGUGAAAAAAUUAGAGUGUUCAAAGCAGGCUUAUGCCGUUGAAUAUAUUAGCAUGGAAUAAUGAGAUAGGACUUUUUUGCUAUUUUGUUGGUUUGCGCAAAGAGGUAAUGAUUAAUAGGGACAGUUGGGGGUAUUCGUAUUCCAUUGUCAGAGGUGAAAUUCUUGGAUUUUUGGAAGACGAACUACUGCGAAAGCAUUUACCAAGGAUGUUUUCAUUAAUCAAGAACGAAAGUA